AAAAGAAAAAGGGGUGAAAAGAACAAAGUUUUAUCCAUCUUUGUUCAUCAUAGUUGAAAUUUAGAGAAGAGAAGGAGAGGAGAAACCUCUUGAGUAUUCGGUCAUUAGGAGGAGGAAAAUUGAAGGUAAUCCCCAACUAUAGUGGGCUUGGAGCUGUGAGGGAAUUCGGAGUGGCCACCCGUUUUGAAAGUUUGAUUUUCUUCUGGUGAACUAGACAUCCUUUUAUUUACGUUUGAAGUUUUGGGUUUUUAAAUGUAAUAAGGCCGCUUAAUUAUUUUUGAUGGUUUUAAUAUGUAUUACUAAGAUAGGUAUUACUUAUUUUAACUGUUGAAAUUGGAUAGCUUUAA